rnacentral:rRNA from 1 species
UUCCCAGACUCCUACGGGAGGCAGCAGUGAGGAAUAUUGGUCAAUGGCCGGAAGGCUGAACCAGCCAAGUCGCGUGAGGGAAUAAGGCCCUAUGGGUCGUAAACCUCUUUUGUCAGGGAGCAAAGGCGUCCACGAGUGGACGAAAGGAGAGUACCUGAAGAAAAAGCAUCGGCUAACUCCGUGCCAGCAGCCGCGGUAAUACGGAGGAUGCGAGCGUUAUCCGGAUUUAUUGGGUUUAAAGGGUGCGUAGGCGGAGUGUCAAGUCAGCGGUAAAAUUUCGGGGCUCAACCCCGUCGUGCCGUUGAAACUGGCAGUCUCGAGUUGGAGAGAAGUAUGCGGAAUGCGCGGUGUAGCGGUGAAAUGCAUAGAUAUCGCGCAGAACUCCGAUUGCGAAGGCAGCAUGCCGGCUCCACACUGACGCUGAGGCACGAAAGCGUGGGUAUCGAACAGGAUUAGAUACCCUCGUAC